rnacentral:lncRNA from 1 species
UGAAAUUGAUGCUGGCUUCUUGUGAUUAAUAAUUGUUGUAGGGGUCUUUUUUGUUCCGGCAGCUACUGAUGGGCCUGGGCUACUGUAAAUAGCUAAAUGUAUGAAACUUCCCCUUGAGUUUGAGUUUAAGGAUCAGACCCCAAGACUGUUUCGAAAGGACAGCUGAGUCUUAGGAAACACUAUGAUCUGCUUCACCAACGAAACCAACAGUCGUUUACAGAUAAAUUCUUGGCUUGGCAUGAGAAGCUUG